rnacentral:rRNA from 1 species
CAGGAUUAGAUACCCUGGUAGUCCACGCCAUAAACGAUGGAUACUUGUUGUUAGAGGUAUUGACCCCUCUAGUGACGUAGCUAACGCGUUAAGUAUCCCGCCUGGGGAGUACGGUCGCAAGAUUAAAACUCAAAGAAAUUGACGGGGGCCCGCACAAGCGGUGGAGCAUGUGGUUUAAUUCGAUGCAACGCGAAGAACCUUACCUAGGCUUGACAUGGACUGGAAGAGUGGCAGAAAUGUCCUCGCUCGCAAGAGUCGGUUCACAGGUGCUGCAUGGCUGUCGUCAGCUCGUGUCGUGAGAUGUUGGGUUAAGUCCCGCAACGAGCGCAACCCUUACCUUUAGUUGCCAGCAUUUAGUUGGGCACUCUAGAGGGACUGCCUGCGUUAAGCAGGAGGAAGGUGGGGAUGACGUCAAGUCCUCAUGGCCCUUAUGCCUAGGGCUACACACGUGCUACAAUGGUGGUCACAGAGCGAAGCAAAGCCGCGAGGUGGAGCAAAUCGCUUAAAAGCCAUCUAAGUUCAGAUUGUAGUCUGCAACUCGACUACAUGAAGUUGGAAUCGCUAGUAAUCGCGGAUCAGAAUGCCGCGGUGAAUACGUUCCCGGGCCUUGUACACACCGCCCGUCACACCAUGAAAGUUGGUUUUACCAGAAGUCGCUGUGCUAACCGCAAGGAGGUAGGCGCCCAAGGUAAGGUCGAUGAUUGGGGUGAA